GGGGGGAGCAAGCGUUGUUCGGAUUUACUGGGCGUAAAGGGCGCGUAGGCGGCCACCGCAAGUCGACUGUGAAAUCUCCGGGCUUAACCCGGAAAGGUCAGCCGAUACUGCGGGGCUAGAGUGCAGAAGGGGCAACUGGAAUUCUCGGUGUAGCGGUGAAAUGCGUAGAUAUCGAGAGGAACACCUGCGGCGAAGGCGGGUUGCUGGGCUGACACUGACGCUGAUGCGCGAAAGCUAGGGGAGCGAACGGGAUUAGAUACCCCGGUAGUCCUAGCCUUAAACGAUGAAUGCUUGGUGUCUGGGGUUUUAUAGUCCCCGGGUGCCGUCGCUAACGCUUUAAGCAUUCCGCCUGGGGAGUACGGUCGCAAGACUG
rnacentral:rRNA from 2 species